UUUAUCGGAGAGUUUGAUCCUGGCUCAGGACGAACGCUGGCGGCGUGCCUAAUACAUGCAAGUCGAGCGGACAGAUGGGAGC
rnacentral:rRNA from 2 species